rnacentral:lncRNA from 1 species
UCCAGCUCCGCUGAGAACACUGCCUCAGAAAGGCUGCAUAUGGGCACUCUGGAUAGCAGCCCAGCUGAGCACAGGCUUCCGUCAUCCCAACCCAGACCCAAAUGUGCAAGUGAAGUGGCCUCCAGAUGACUCCAGUCCCAGCCAUUUCGUCUUUCCAGCUGAUGUCCCAGAUGUCACAGAGCCAGGUCCACCAGGCCCUAUCUGAAGUCCUGAAAUACAGAAUCCAUAUGCAUGAUAGAACGGGUGUUUACACUGCUUCGUCUUGGGGGGAGUUUGUUAUACAUAAUAGUUAAUGAUAACGGUUCCUCAUCGCCCUCUAAAGACAGAAUAGGAGAGUCUGAGCUGUGAAAGAAAGGGAGAGACAUUAGAUUACUCAUGGGAGAUUGUCAGCCAGGUGCCAGAAGAUACAUCUGCGGUGGCCAUUAAAGUACCAUGAGGAAUCGGUUCCCUGGAACCCAACUCCUUCUGCAUCCAGUGCCUGGUCCCAUGUCAGCUAUGGUGGGACAGAUAACCUUACAUCUGAGCAGUGUCAGGAACUGCAGAAUAACAAAAGCAG